rnacentral:rRNA from 1 species
GACGAACGCUGGCGGCGUGCUUAACACAUGCAAGUCGAACGGUGAAGGGACUGGUUUUGCUGGUCCUGGAUGAGUGGCGAACGGGGGAGUAACACGUGAGUAACCUGCCCCCUUCUUCUGUAUAACCGCAUGAAAGUGUGGCUAAUACGGGACAUUCUGGGUCUGUCGCAUGGUGGGCCUGGUAAAGAUUUCGCCUUUUUUGGUGUGUUGGGGUGGGGUUGGGCUCGUGGCGUGUUAGCUGGUCGGCGGGGUGAUGGCCUCAAACGGGGGUGACGGGUAGCCGGCCUGAGAGGGUGGACGGUCACACUGGGACUGAGACACGGCCCAGACUCAUGCGGGGGGCAGCAGUGGAGUAUAUUGCAAUAUGGGCGAAAGCCUGCUACAGCGACGCCGCGUGAGGGAUGGAGGCCUUCGGGUUGUGAACCUCUUUCGCCAGAGAAGCAGGCCUGCCUCUUUUUGUGGGUGGGUUGACGGUAGCUGGAUAAGAAGCGCCGGCUAACUACGUG